UACAGAGGUCCCAAGCGUUGUUCGGAUUCACUGGGCGUAAAGGGUGCGCAGGUGGCGCUUCAAGUUUGAUGUGAAAGCCCCGAGCUCAACUCGGGAAUGGCAUUGAAUACUGGAGUGCUAGAGGUUUGGAGGGGGGACUGGAAUUCUCGGUGUAGCAGUGAAAUGCGUAGAUAUCGAGAGGAACACCAGUGGCGAAGGCGAGUCCCUGGACAACACCUGACACUGAGGCACGAAAGCUAGGGGAGCAAACAGG
rnacentral:rRNA from 1 species